rnacentral:lncRNA from 1 species
AAACCCGAUCAAACCCUAUUUUUUGGGUUUGAUCGGGUUUGGGUAGGGUGCAUACCCAUCGGGUCGGAUCGAUUUUGCCAUCCCUAAAGUUGGGCCAUACCCAGUAAGGAAGUCAAAGGAAGUUGGGCUAAGCAUAAUUGAUGAUAUAUACUUAGCUGAAGUGAAGGAAGAAGUUGAAGAAUAUCAUCACUAAUUUGCCUUAGCUUCAUCCUCAGCAGU